rnacentral:ncRNA from 1 species
UGACAGCGCUAUCGCGCUUCCUCAGCCCGAACGGCAUCGAAGUAACGACGAGAUAAAACAAGCUUCUUACUCCAUAACCCACA